rnacentral:rRNA from 1 species
UAGGGAAUCUUCCACAAUGGACGCAAGUCUGAUGGAGCAACGCCGCGUGAGUGAAGAAGGUUUUCGGACCGUAAAGCUCUGUUGUUGGUGAAGAAGGAUAGAGGUAGUAACUGGCCUUUAUUUGACGGUAAUCAACCAGAAAGUCACGGCUAACUACGUGCCAGCAGCCGCGGUAAUACGUAGGUGGCAAGCGUUGUCCGGAUUUAUUGGGCGUAAAGCGAGCGCAGGCGGAAGAAUAAGUCUGAUGUGAAAGCCCUCGGCUUAACCGAGGAAUUGCAUCGGAAACUGUUUUCUUGAGUGCAGAAGAGGAGAGUAGAACUCCAUGUGUAGCGGUGGAAUGCGUAGAUAUAUGGAAGAAUACCAGUGGCGAAGGCGGCUCUCUGGUCUGCAACUGACGCUGAGGCUCGAAAGCAUGGGUAGCGAACAGGAUUAGAUACCCUGGUAGUCCAUGCCGUAAACGAUGAGUGCUAAGUGUUGGGAGGCUUCCGCC